AAGAAAGAAACAAAAAAAUACUUCAAAUUUUGCAUAUAAAAUUUUACAUCUUUCCCAGGUGACCUCGAAACUCAAAUGUCAGAACCAAAGGCAGAAGCAGGUAUCUGGGCAGUGCCAACUGUCAGGGAGGAUGCAAAGAGAAGUCGUCACCAGAGAAACCAGGGUCCGAAAUGCAACCAGCAACAGGGAAAUGUGAAGCCUUAAACAGGAAAUAAAAGCCUGGGUUUCUUUAGACUAUGGUUGGGAUAAGGAAGGGGAGUACAGGGGUGAUAAACUUUAGCAAUAUUCCCAGAAAGUGUUGGCGCCUUUGACAGAAGCAUGGGAAAGAAGGCAUCCGGGUAGAGGCUCUUCACUAUUUGCUGGUGGAGGGAUCAUAGACCCCUCUGAGAUCUUAUGGACCCUCUCCCCAGAGCACGUACCGGGCAGUAUUUACUCCAUUUCAGGAGUUCCACAGCCUUGGGGUAGGAGCCCCUGCCUAGGAGAUAAUAAGACUGACGCUGCCUGAUAUUCUCACGCCCGCAUUCAUUCAUUCGAACAGGGGAUCCCUUUUGUCACGCAAGCAGCUCUACCCUCAGCAUCCUACCCGUAACAGGAGCUCCAUAAACACUUGUUGACUGACUGCUUGUAUCGAGUGCUGAGCUGGAAACAGAGGUGAUGAACAGGAGUACAGAGGAAGGAUCCAAG
rnacentral:lncRNA from 10 species